UACGUAGGGGCCGAGCGUUGUCCGGAGUUAUUGGGCGUAAAGCGCGCGCAGGCGGCCUCGCGCGCCCGACGUGAAAGCCCCCGGCUUAACCGGGGAGGGUCGUUGGGGACGGCGGGGCUUGAGGGCGGGAGAGGUCGGUGGAAUUCCAGGUGUAGCGGUGAAAUGCGUAGAUAUCUGGAGGAACACCGGUGGCGAAGGCGGCGUUCUGGACUGCAACUGACACUGAUGAACGAAAGCCAGGGGAGCAAACGGG
rnacentral:rRNA from 1 species